UGCUUGGGUAGCUCAGUUGGUAGAGCACUUGCCCGCAAAAGGCAAAGGUCCCGAGUUCGAGUCUCGGUCCAGCAC
rnacentral:tRNA from 1 species